GGAGGGUGCAAGCGUUAAUCGGAAUUACUGGGCGUAAAGCGCGCGUAGGUGGUUAUUUAAGUUAGCUGUGAAAGCCCCGGGCUUAACCUGGGAAGGUCAGCUGAUACUGGGUAACUAGAGUAUAGCAGAGGGUAGUGGAAUUUCCGGUGUAGCGGUGAAAUGCGUAGAUAUCGGAAGGAACACCAGUGGCGAAGGCGACUACCUGGGUUAAUACUGACACUGAGGUGCGAAAGCGUGGGGAGCGAACAGGAUUAGAUACCCUGGGUAGUCCACGCCGUAAACGAUGUCAACUAGCUGUUGGAACAUCAAAGAAUGUUUUAGUAGCGCAGCUAACGCAUUAAGUUGACCGCCUGGGGGAGUACGAUCGCAAGAUUA
rnacentral:rRNA from 1 species